CGUGGGGGUGAUGAGUUGCACUGCUAUAACGGGGCGCUGGCUGCAGUGGCGGCCGCGCCCCAGCCGACCCCCUGCUGGGGACACCCCACGUGCACAGGGGCCACCUGACUCGCG
ensembl:snoRNA small nucleolar RNA SNORD67